rnacentral:rRNA from 1 species
UCAGAUUGAACGCUGGCGGCAGGCUUAACACAUGCAAGUCGAGCGGGGGAAGGUAGCUUGCUACUGGACCUAGCGGCGGACGGGUGAGUAAUGCUUAGGAAUCUGCCUAUUAGUGGGGGACAACAUCUCGAAAGGGAUGCUAAUACCGCAUACGUCCUACGGGAGAAAGCAGGGGAUCUUCGGACCUUGCGCUAAUAGAUGAGCCUAAGUCGGAUUAGCUAGUUGGUGGGGUAAAGGCCUACCAAGGCGACGAUCUGUAGCGGGUCUGAGAGGAUGAUCCGCCACACUGGGACUGAGACACGGCCCAGACUCCUACGGGAGGCAGCAGUGGGGAAUAUUGGACAAUGGGGGGAACCCUGAUCCAGCCAUGCCGCGUGUGUGAAGAAGGCCUUAUGGUUGUAAAGCACUUUAAGCGAGGAGGAGGCUACUUUAGUUAAUACCUAGAGAUAGUGGACGUACUCGCAGAAUAAGCACCG